GACUUGUAGAUAAGAUGGAUCUAGUAUUAGAGUUAGCUAAGCUCAGGGGCACAUUAGGAGAAUUUGUUAUUACACGAUAUUAGUGGAUGGUAUUCGAAGAAUUCUCGAAUUCCAGAAACGACGAUUUUCAUGAAUCCGUGAUAAUAAAAAAGGCAUUUCGCGUGCAUCGACUAAAUAUUUACGCGUGCAAUGAUCGCGUGGCUCGUUGACGUAUGACGGCCACUUUUAGCCGGAUAUACAGGCUGUUUCAUGAUGCACGAAAUCCGAAAAUAAAUACGCAUUUCGCGUGGUCAAAUCCUCGACGUAACUUAGACGCAACUUGGCCAAGGGAAUUGGCAGAGUUUCCUGUCUCUGACGUAAAAUCGAUCGAAAUUUUUAUCUUUCUGUCGGACUUGAUGGAACAUCGGAUGUCGUGGUACUUUUACACAGCAGAUAUUUAUAAACGAAUUACUAAAUUAGAAUUUUUUAGAUAUCAGCUAAUUUAGGAAACAAAGCAACUAUAGUAUUCUAUUGUCAAAUAGCUGAAAAUUAGUCAUACUUUGUACUUUAUGUAGAAAAUAGAGUCAAAGAUGGCGAUUUUUAGGUUAUGUCAGAUUGUACAAUUACGUAAUUGAAACAUCUGAUCGUUAAACCGUUCAAUUACCACGGUUACAUGUUACGUAGCUAACGAUUAGAUUCCACACAAGUGGUAUACGUCCACUUUCCCUAAAAAUCUAUUUUAACAUUUCAUCGACUUGCGAUCGUGGCAGAUGUCAAUCGAAUUUCGAUACUUUAAUAUCGAAAUCUUCGAUAUCAUUGCUGACAUUACAUUUGUUUUAACUGCACCUGCGAAAUAUUUCGACAAUAAUACUUCGUUCUGACGUGUCUCAUGUUAUCUCACAUAUCACAUAUUGCGUGAUGUACUCUCGUUGUUUUUCUUUUUUUUUUUUUUUAUUAAUGUUCGCCCUUGUAUGUCCCAUCCAACGACUAUGUUGCAAAUCGGCUCUCAUUGAUCCUCUUAAGAUUUUCCAUUGUGCUCGAUUUGAUAUCAAUUUUAUUCGUCUUUGUUUCGUUGUGUAACAAGCAAUCCAUCCAUUUUAAUUUCAUAGAAAUCGAGCUUCACGUUGGAGAAACGGAGGCGCUUAAAGAAGAUUUUAAGGUAAUUCACAAAGGGAGAAAUUAUGAUAAGUGAAGCGGAAUUCCAUUGGUGAAAAAAGGAGCAAACAUCUUUGAUUCUUUGUGCUAUGAACCAAUUCGUGCAUUCUGCUUGACACGUGUCUCUCCCUUCAAUAUUCGAUUAUCGGUUGUAACAGUAAAAUAAUGUUUUAUAGAAAUGAAAUAGAAUUCUUGAAAUAGAACAGAGUAAUUUAUUUUCGCGUAUGUUCGUCAUAGAGAGACACGUGCCUGCGUUUUUCAGCGGAUCUGUAAUUACUUUAUUAUUUGAGUUUGCAAGGUUGGAGAAGUUUUAAAUUACAAUCACACGGGAAAGAAAGUCCCUAGAGAAAAACUCAAUUAUUACCACUGACGUUCCCCGAAACAGUGUUGCCAACGACGCGGCUGGUUAACGAGCACGGAAUUGACAUUCAAUUACGCGGACGUGUUCUAAAAAUAAAGGGGCGGCUCGAUUAAUUCCGUGACACGACGAAGCUGCAUUUCCUGAUUAACUCGCGACAGCUACCAUUGGUCCUCAAUUUUGUCCGCUGAAGCAGACGAGGUUAGGAACUAAAAAAAGAAAGAAAAUGUUACUAUAAAUAAAGUAAAAGUUACUAUAGUUGAGUCAUAUAUACACGUGUACGUAAAUGAACAGAGAAGUUUGGAUUAGGUUACUACAUUUUUCCAUACUCGAUCAUAUUUUAAAUGUUGUAUUACGUACAAUGAAGAACCAUUAAUAGAACUAAUAAUGGAUUUCACCGUGUCGAACACGCGUAGGAUGGAAAUUAGAAUGGAGAGUUUCAAAUCUAAGUAAUUUAAUCGAAAUUUAAGAGCAAUCUAAUGAAAUACACAUUUAACACGAAGUAAAAAUUUCAGUAAUUUAAUUCAACAAAGGUUUGAAUUAGGUUAUGAUCAGGUUACUUAAAUCCUUAAUUCACGUUAAACGUGCAUUUGGAAUCCGAAGUUUAAUGAAAAACGGGUGACAAACGAGCAUAUUCACAUUCGGAUCACCGUGUUCAACUGAUUUAGAGAUGAUACGACUUUGUAGCGGCAAUGCCAGGACGAUCAGGUUGCAAAACGAAUGAAGUCAUUCUUCUACAAUUUCAUGGAUUCGGUUCAACUUCAACCUCGAGUAAGAUUAAAAUUAAAGUGCCCUAACCUCGGCGGCAAUAUUCGAGAAAUUAAUACGUCGUAUGCUGCGACGAUUAAUAAACGGCCCAGUAAUACCAACGUGAGAGAGAAAUUAUUCCUAGCAGCAAUUUUUCAAAAUGUUUGGAUACAUUUGAUUCGGAUUGCGUCAUGCUUCGCAGAGAAUACGAGACGCCGGCUAUGUGGAUCGUAUCUGGAAACGAAAAGAACUUAGCGAACCCUCGACUCAUCCCGGAAGCGAUUUGUCCCAGAAAACUUCCGACGCGUUAAAGAACCCCUGAACACGGCAACCAGACAUCUCCCUUGACUCCGUGUUGAAAAACGUUUCCUUCGAUUUUCGCUUCUUAUUUUCGUCGCAAGUUUCAAACGACAAAUACCAUUUUUAAGCGUCUUUCUCUUUCUUCCACGAGAUUUCUUGCGUAUCUGACAUUUCGUGUACGAAAGAAUAAUUUUUAAUAUUAAUAUAUUAAUCCUCAAUUUUUAAUUCUUCGGUAUUAUCAGGUAUCAACAAUUCUGUUACGCAUCAUCAUUCUGUACGUAUAAAUCAUUUUUCAUAAUUUCACGGUGGUUUCUUUGUUUGUUCUUGGUAUAUAUCAAACAAUGGUUAAUAUUUAUUUAUACAAAUAUACUUUUUUUGUACGAGUACUGUGUUCCUUGUACCUGGCACAAAAAUUAUAUUUCGGACGUAAAUUAAAAGUUGAUCUCUUAGCAUCUUAAACUUCAAUUUGCAUAAUAAUCCUGAUCGCCGGGAGGAUUCCUAAAAGGAAUUCAGCAGCGACUCGCCGAAAUAAUCUGCUUUCUGGUUGUGUUGAAUAUUGCAGGAAGUCAUUGCAGGAAAAGAAAAGGAGAAUGCUUUCUGAAUCAGUGAGAUUAAGAUUGGUUUGCCUAAUGAAUAAUCAUAACUCGUGUCUCCCAGACACCAUUCCGCUAUAAUUUUCAAUUUUUUUCAUAUCGCUUCUUUUUAUCAUAAAGAAACGCUCAGAAGAAAUUAUUCAGAUUUUCUCUUCUGUUUCUUCCGAAUACUGCGUUAUAAAAAAUAGAGGAGAACAUCUGUUCUGCGUCAAAGACUCGUUUCAGUCAGUCUUUCUAUGCCGUACCAUAAAUAUUUUUUGCUUAACACGAGAGGGCAAAGGAAUUUCUCAAAUUUCUUUUCCCACAGAUUUCUUCUCUUUCUUUCCCAUUCUGCUUAAAUAUUGCAAGAAACUGUUACAUGCGAAGGAAGAAAGACAAACACAUCAGAAUUUCUCUUGGGCAAUUCCUAAGGUCACAUUUGGCCAGACAAAAAAAUGAUUGCAAUGGUCUUCCUGAAGCUUUUUUCUAUUUUUGUAAAAAGCGUAACCAGUUUCAUGCUCAAGAAGGAAGCCAAAAUCAACGAACAUCUACUUCUAUAGAACAUCACAACAAAUUGAUAAAAACCUAACCUCUACAAAAGCCAGCUGCUAAACUUUGUUGCAAAGUUACAAGUCGUUAAAUUUUCAUUUUAUUAUACCUUCGUCAAAAAUAGAAAGAAUUUCGCUUGCAGAAGCUUGUCAAAAUGAAAAAAUUUCCCUUUUUAUAUUUCCAUUAGGUUGUUACAACGCAGGACCCUAAAAUAUCAUAAGCCAAUAUUUCACGAAUACUCCUCCUAACCUACAAAACAAAGUUAAAGAAGAAAAUUUCAUUUACUAGGAACCUCUUCGAAAAACACAUUUCUUUCCCUUAUCCACUUAAACGUUGCAAGAAAUCGAUAAAAAAAAAAGGAAAAAAAAGAAGGAAGAGAGAAAUGGCAGAAGCUCUCCUGAUCCAGUUGCCAGGGUUACCUGCCGGUAACCUGAGCCGGUUUCGCGGAGACUUUUCGUUUAGGCGAGUGCUUUCAUUAAGGUCGUUGUUUGAAUACGUCCGUCUCUGCGAUCGAUGUGCACGCGUCCGUGUCACCAGGUUCCUCCAGAUAACGGGAAUCGAUUACACGGACGAAGCGGCGUAAAUAGGCUGGUUCUCCAUCGCUUGUUUUACCAAUGCAAAUCCUCCUGUUCCUCUACCGAUCGAUGUUUACGCGUUCGUAGAAAAAUGUGUUUCAACCCUGAGCCGCGUCCCUCGUGUCAACCUGACAAGCUUCUCCCUCUAAAACAUUAAAUUACUCCACCAUUUGUAGAACCACUCUCCUGAAACUUGUUGACUCUGACGGCCGAACGAAUUAGUAUAAUUAGAGAAAAAUUAGUGCGAAUGCGCUUGAAAGACAAAGAGGAAAAUUCGCUAUUUGUCCGUUCGUCUCACUGACGUUCUAUCGCUUCGUCUAGAGAAUUCACAAAAUUGUUAUAAACCUAGUGCAUAUAUUACUGUUGUAUAAGAAAUCGCAGGAAAAAAAUCAUACAAUGAAAAUAUCAACAAGUUCAGAUUCAUUGCUACAACAAACUUGUCAAGUGGAGUAUUGUAAAGGUUACGAAAUUUGAUAAUAAGAUAAUUUGUAAAAAGUGCAGCGAAGAUGAAUGAGAUAUAUCUCUAUAUAAACGAAAGUGUAAUUUUAUUUCAGUUUAUAAUUGAAAUUAAGCAACAGUAAAUUUGCACGAAAUUUCCUCAAAGUUCAUCAUUUUAUAUACAUUCAGUUAUAAAUUAGCCAUUAUCUGAGUUAAUACAAAAAACUAUUACUUUUUUAAUCACCGGUCAUUUUGAUUGCACACGGUAGAAAUAUACACGAAGUGUGGAUAGGUUUAGUGUUAAGUCGCUGGGAACGAGACACGAACGAGGAUGUAGAAGAAUGUCUAGUAUUUUUUAGUUCUAUGUAGUUCUAUCUAGUUCUAUCUAGUUCUAUCUAGUUCUUUUUUUUCUUUCUUCUUCUCAGAGAUGAACAUUUCACUGUUUUAGGAAAUUUCACCUUUAUGGUAUCUUUUAAAAAAAAUUUAAAAAAAAUAAAAUGGGAGUUUUUUGAAAAACAAGAUACGAUGUUCAUGGUGUUUCUCUAUGAACACUAUGAUUUUAGGUUGAUGUUAUCUCGCGUUAUUGUCCAUCUCGCUUUCUCUUCUCGCGGCUAUAGUGAUCACGAUACGCGUAUGUCGAUCAAUUUUGUUAAAAGUUACAAUUAAAUCAGAUUUGAUACGAGGGGGAAAUUUUUGCAUUCGAUAUUUCCUCGUUUUGUUCGAACGAGUCUGAUGAACUUUGGUACUGGAAUUUCGAAUAAUCGAUUAGGUAUAACAGGUUUCUAAUUGCGAAUAGGACCACGUCUCUAGUCAGUUUGCUAUUUGACACCUUCAAUUAUUCACGUACGUGUCAAUUCCAAUGAGCAGGCAAUCGAUACAGCUGCGUUCGAGGCACACGAGGCACGCAGUGAAUUGUCAUGGAUGACCGAUGAAUAUAGAGCCAUCAGGUCAAUCGUAAAAUAAUUAGCUGUAAGCCUGAUCGAUAAUCUGUCCACUCUUCCCGUCACAGCUUUUACUCCUCUUCCACUUUCAACUCGCGGAUUUCUAUUUCACCUUUUUC